UUUCAAUCCCCGGCCAAAAGUCUUCAACUGUUGCUUGAAGCAAGAGGUCCGGGACGACAGGUAAACAUCGUAUCCUCCCAUGAAAUCCCUCUCACCUUUUUCUCUCCCGACUCCGGAUCAUCCGCGGCGAGGAGCAGAAUAGUGGGUGAUGAGUGAGGCGGAUGAAUUCACCACUACACUGUCUUCUUCCCCAAAAGCGAAAGGAGUCGCCAUCACCAUCGAGAUCGAGCUUGAAAAAGAAGAUGAAAAACCAGGAAAGAACAAGAACACAACAAACCAGUCAGGACUUGAGAAACUGCCCACCCUCCCCCCUCCAUUAAAUUAUGCAGACCAACUUCCUGCGGGAGUCCAACUUCAACUUAAGUAAACAUUGAUUCUGGUCCGGUGUUGUUCCCCAUUAACACUCCACUCAAAUCUAACCUCCCCCGAAUAAAAUAAUCCCACCCCACCUCCCUCGUCCUCUCUCUCUCUCUCUCUCUCUCUGUGCGCGUGUGGCACAGGGUGUCUCUUGUCUGUAACUGUUCAGUUCUUGGGGUUGCUUGGAGUACACAGGGCAUUUCAAUUCGUGGGUCGGUUUCGGUUUCGUGGAAUUAAUUUCGUGCUGGUGGAGAGGGAGGCGUUUAUGGUGGUCAGAGCCUCUGCGGGUUCCAGAGCAUGUUGUUUAGUCGCAGAGAGAUUGAUUAAAUCUCUCUUCUUUCCUUUUUUUUUCUUUUGUGUUCCCUCCACCAAAGGGAAGGGAAGAAAAAAGAGAAUUUAUUGCGUUGCUUUGCUCUCACUGUACGCGGGGGUCCCUGGCUUGCUGAUCUGAUUCCCUUCCUCCACGAUCUUGCUUCAAGUGUUAUCAAGUCUCUUGAUUUAGCAAUCUUCUCUUUUUGUAGAGUAGAAUUUCUUUUUUAGCUAUUGUAUUUGGGUUUUAUUGGUUAUCAAGAUCCUCGUUGAGGGAGCUGGGGUUGUAAGGAUUGGGAUUUGGUGUUGAAUGAGAUUUGGGGUGGUGAUGCAAGUGAUCAUUGUCCAGCAGGUUCUGCUCUGUAUCAUCAGCUUUGCUUCAGCUGUCCAGGAUCUGCAGUGAUUCGUCUACAAUGACUAAGCCAGAGCAUGAAUUUAGGAGAGGUAUCCGGCAGAGGCAUGUCAGAUCCGUCAUUUGAGCUAUUGUUCUUCUCUUGAUUUCAAUGUGCAAUUUUUAUGCGGAAUUGUGUAAAAAUUGCACUUGGCGGUCCUUAAUUGCAAGUUCUAGUUCGAUGUUUUCCCGAAUUAAAAUCGUAGGUUUCAGCAUUGUCUCCACAGCUAAAGCUUUCCCAUCUGGGAAUUGCUUGCUAGAUGACGGUUUACCCCAUGAACGGCCAGGCAUGGUUUGCAUAGACGUUUAUGCAAUUGGCAAAUUUUUCCUACGCCAUUUUUCUCUUCAAUUGUACUGGAGCUAAGGAGUGAACAGCUCCAAAUCAACGGGAGAAUUAUCAAAAAAGUCCUAAACAUUUCAGCUUCAAUUGUACCAUUUCGGUCCUAAACUUUUUUUUGGACCAAUUUAGUCCUAAACAUUUUAUAA